AAGUCGUAACAAGGUUUCCGUAGGUGAACCUGCGGAAGGAUCAUUAUCACGUAUCCACGUAUCAACCUUUGUGAACUGUUCUACCUUCACGUUUUUUUUUUUGUUGUUGUUGUUGUUGUGGGUGGGUGGUUGUUGUGGGGGAAUUUUGUUUUUCCCUCUCUCUUCUACACACAUACACACACACAUACAAAUAAAAAAAAACUGGAGUGUAAUUUAUUCUUUAUUUUUCAAACCAAUUGAACCAUAUCUCUUUUAAGAUUUAAUGAACUGAUUCGAAGUAGAUUGAAAUGUCUACUUUUCGUUUUACGAAAACACUGUACAACUCUUAGCAACGGAUAUCUUGGCUCUC
rnacentral:misc_RNA from 1 species